GGACUGCCUUGGUUAGGUCAAUAUGGUCUCAAAGAGAGAUGAUGACAUAAAAAUCUUGCUCAAUAGGAUUAUGCUGAGGAUC